ensembl:lncRNA
UCCGUGAACUGUUACCUCAGCCUGUUCACCGUGGAAAGGUCAGCUACAAACCACAUCUUUCUUUAACAGACACCGGUUCUUCGAGGACGUGGCCGAGCUCAGGCUUCAGGAGCGAGAACGCAACUACGCCAAAAGGUUGGAGGUCCUGGAGAGGCGGCAGAAGCAGAUAGAAGAAGUGGCCGAGAAGAAGAAGCAGGCGGGAAGCAACUGAAUGUAGCAGCUAGAACCUCUGUGGUUCUGUACAGAGAUUCUCCAGCAGACUGUCCUGUUGAGUAGCUCUACAGAUUGAUGCAUCCUGCUGUCAACAGGCCGAUGUUAAAGACUAACCUGUUAAACAGAAGCCUUCAAACGCCUUCCCCUGGAGCUGCUGUCUGCAAUGGAUGUAUUUAAAUAAUCCUCACACAUUUGUAUAAAUACACAUGAAAAUAUCUGGACAUGUUUACUUUGCAAGAAGCCAAACUGUUCCCAUCAAUGUGUCUGUUUUGAGACAUGAUCAAUAAUCAAAACACCGUGUCCCAGAAGUUUGUUCUCCACACUGGACAACGUGUUUGAUUGUCACCAAAAUAGGUUCCACUGUCAGGGACUGUCUGGUUGUUUGUCUGUCAAACUGUCAGGUCCCAGUAAUAAAUUUCUUGUUUGACCAAAAUGCUUUACUCUUACAAACAAAUUUUAGAAUAGAAUAGAUGAGAGAAUAGAACAAUGAUCCUUUACAGGAAAUUACUUUGCUACAGUCGCAUGCUAAGAUGCAGACGACCCACAAACCCGACAGAACACCAACACUAAUAGCCGUCAAGUAUGAUGCAUCUGCAGCAAUGGAGGUUGAUCAAACCUUGAAAGCUGGUAAUUCCUACAGGUGUCCCAACUUUU